AUAUUGAUUUGGCAGAUUAGUGCAUUAAAUUUAGAAUUUAAAUAUGUAUAUUACAAUCAAUA
rnacentral:tRNA from 1 species